UACGUAGGGUGCGAGCGUUAAUCGGAAUUACUGGGCGUAAAGCGUGCGCAGGCGGUUCGUUGUGUCGGCGGUGAAAUCCCCGGGCUCAACCUGGGAAUGGCGAUGGAGACUGCAAGGCUGGAAUCUGGCAGAGGGGGGUAGAAUUCCACGUGUAGCAGUGAAAUGCGUAGAGAUGUGGAGGAACACCGAUGGCGAAGGCAGCCCCCUGGGCUAAGAUUGACGCUCAUGCACGAAAGCGUGGGGAGCAAACAGG
rnacentral:rRNA from 1 species